UACGGAGGGAGCUAGCGUUGUUCGGAGUUACUGGGCGUAAAGCGCGCGUAGGCGGCUUUGUAAGUUAGAGGUGAAAGCCCGGAGCUCAACUCCGGAACUGCCUUUAAAACUGCAUCGCUUGAAUCCAGGAGAGGUGAGUGGAAUUCCGAGUGUAGAGGUGAAAUUCGUAGAUAUUCGGAAGAACACCAGUGGCGAAGGCGGCUCACUGGACUGGUAUUGACGCUGAGGUGCGAAAGCGUGGGGAGCAAACAGG
rnacentral:rRNA from 1 species